rnacentral:tRNA from 1 species
AGUCCUAUAGUUUAACCAAAAACAUUAAAUUGCAAGUUUAAAUAUGAUUGUUAUCUAAGACUU